GAGUUUGAUCAUGGCUCAGGAUGAACGCUGGCGGCACGCCUAACACAUGCAAGUCGAACGGGGUUAAUUCGGAAGAAGUUUUCGGAUGGAAUCUGGAUUAACUUAGUGGCGGACGGGUGAGUAACACGUGAGCAAUCUGCCUUUCGGAGGGGGAUACCGUUGGGAAACUAACGUUAAUACCGCAUAACAUAGCGAGACCGCAUGGUCAUGCUAUCAAAGAAUUAUCGCCGAAAGAUGAGCUCGCGUCCGAUUAGAUAGUUGGUGAGGUAACGGCCCACCAAGUCGACGAUCGGUAGCCGGACUGAGAGGUUGAACGGCCACAUUGGGACUGAGACACGGCCCAGACUCCUACGGGAGGCAGCAGUGGGGAAUAUUGCACAAUGGGCGCAAGCCUGAUGCAGCGAUGCCGCGUGAGGGAAGAAGGUUUUCGGAUUGUAAACCUCUGUCUUUGGGGACGAAUAAUGACGGUACCCAAGGAGGAAGCUCCGGCUAACUACGUGCCAGCAGCCGCGGUAAUACGUAGGGAGCAAGCGUUAUCCGGAAUUACUGGGUGUAAAGGGAGUGUAGGCGGGAUUGCAAGUCAGAUGUGAAAAUUAUGGGCUCAACUCAUAACCUGCAUUUGAAACUGUAAUUCUUGAGUGAAGUAGAGGUAAGCGGAAUUCCAUGUGUAGCGGUGAAAUGCGUAGAUAUAUGGAGGAACAUCAGUGGCGAAGGCGGCUUACUGGGCUUUUACUGACGCUGAGGCUCGAAAGCGUGGGGAGCAAACAGGAUUAGAUACCCUGGUAGUCCACGCUGUAAACGAUGAUUACUAGGUGUGGGGGGACUGACCCCUUCCGUGCCGGAGUUAACACAAUAAGUAAUCCACCUGGGGAGUACGGUCGCAAGACUGAAACUCAAAGGAAUUGACGGGGGCCCGCACAAGCAGUGGAGUAUGUGGAUUAAUUCGAUGCAACGCGAAGAACCUUACCAGGUCUUGACAUCUAACGAACCCGUAUGAAAGUAUGGGGUGCCCUUCGGGGAGCGUUAAGACAGGUGGUGCAUGGUUGUCGUCAGCUCGUGUCGCGAGAUGUUGGGUUAAGUCCCGCAACGAGCGCAACCCUUAUGUUUAGUUGCUACGCAAGAGCACUCUAAACAGACUGCCGUUGACAAAACGGAGGAAGGUGGGGAUGAUGUCAAAUCAUCAUGCCCCUUAUGACCUGGGCUUCACACGUACUACAAUGGCUGUUAACAAAGGGAAGCAAGACAGUGAUGUGGAGCGAAACCCAAAAAUAACGUCCCAGUUCGGAUUGCAGGCUGCAACCCGCCUGCAUGAAGCUGGAAUCGCUAGUAAUCGCGGAUCAGAAUGCCGCGGUGAAUACGUUCCCGGGUCUUGUACACACCGCCCGUCACACCAUGGGAGUCGGAAAUGCCCGAAGUCUGUGACCCAACCCCUGGUGGGGAUGACCGGAAGAGAAGGAGGGAUAAGAAAGCAGACGGAGUCUGGUUUCUUAUACUCGCGAAGAAGAGAUAAGGAGAGGUCGUACCCAGCAGGGGGAGGGAGCAGCCGAAGGCAGGUCGGAUGACUGGGGUGAAGUCGUAACAAGGUAAC
rnacentral:rRNA from 1 species